UAACAGGGAAGGAAAUUUGAUGUUACCAAUU
rnacentral:piRNA from 1 species